AGCAGCCACGGUAAUUCCAGCUCCAAUAGUGUAUAUUAAAGUUGUUGCAGUUAAAAAGCUUGUAGUUGAACCUUAGGCCUGUGCGGCGGUCCGUCCACUGGGCGAGCACUGCCUCAUCGCGGGUCUCACCUUCUGGCGAGUGUGGAUGCCAUUCAUUUGGUGUCUGGGAACCAGGAUCUUCUUUACCUUGAAAAGAUUAGAGUGCUCAAAGCGGGCUCUUAUGCUUGAAUACAUUAGCAUGGAAUAAUGAAAUAGGACGACAGUUCUAUUUUGUUGAUUUCUGGGACGGUCGUAAUGAUUAAUAGAGAUAGUUGGGGGCAUUCGUAUUCAAUUGUCAGAGGUGAAAUUCUUGGAUUUAUUGAAUAUGGACUACUGUGAAAGCAUUUUGCCAAGGAUGUUUUCAUUAAUCAAGAACGAAAGUUGGGGGAUCGAAGACGAUCAGAUACCGUCAUAGUCUCAACCAUAAACUAUGCUGACUGGGAAUC
rnacentral:rRNA from 1 species